rnacentral:rRNA from 1 species
CGGGUGAGUAAUGUCUGGGAAACUGCCUGAUGGAGGGGGAUAACUACUGGAAACGGUAGCUAAUACCGCAUAACGUCGCAAGACCAAAGAGGGGGACCUUCGGGCCUCUUGCCAUCGGAUGUGCCCAGAUGGGAUUAGCUUGUUGGUGGGGUAACGGCUCACCAAGGCGACGAUCCCUAGCUGGUCUGAGAGGAUGACCAGCCACACUGGAACUGAGACACGGUCCAGACUCCUACGGGAGGCAGCAGUGGGGAAUAUUGCACAAUGGGCGCAAGCCUGAUGCAGCCAUGCCGCGUGUAUGAAGAAGGCCUUCGGGUUGUAAAGUACUUUCAGCGGGGAGGAAGGGAGUAAAGUUAAUACCUUUGCUCAUUGACGUUACCCGCAGAAGAAGCACCGGCUAACUCCGUGCCAGCAGCCGCGGUAAUACGGAGGGUGCAAGCGUUAAUCGGAAUUACUGGGCGUAAAGCGCACGCAGGCGGUUUGUUAAGUCAGAUGUGAAAUCCCCGGGCUCAACCUGGGAACUGCAUCUGAUACUGGCAAGCUUGAGUCUCGUAGAGGGGGGUAGAAUUCCAGGUGUAGCGGUGAAAUGC